rnacentral:rRNA from 1 species
CAGACCUCUAAUCGGGAAAGACCACCCGCCGAGUUUAA